rnacentral:lncRNA from 1 species
GCUUUCCCAUCUAAUACAUAUAUAUGAUGUGUCCGAUAUGGAAAACCUUCAAUUCAUCUGUAUGAAUUAAGGCACUUUCCCUUGUUUGAACAACAACUUCAAUUCAUUGCUCUUUUCAGUUAUACCAGAGGCACAGACGUUAAAGCAUGCAUUAAGGGAGAGAGAUGCAAGUUUGGUGUUGUGCUCUACAUUGAACACAACAUUGUCCCAAAUGAACUACAAUAAUUAUUCACAUUAAACGGAAAAUGCCAGCUGCCUGUAACAUUCGCAAGAAUGUUUCCUCAACAAUGCAGGUCAAUACAGCCGCAGUUAUUAUAUCAGAAACUACCAAGAUGUUAAUUUACAUUCCUAUAACCACCAAGGUCGUUUUCUCUUUUGUCACUAUCAUGGUCUGUGGCAAGACGACAUGAUGAGCUGUAGAUGACUUCCUAUGUCUAAACAGUUCCUUCGUAAACAUCUUUUUGCUGUCCACUUUGACCUACACAAACCAAAUUAAAACAUCAAUAUAAAAAAAAAAAGUAUAUGCUUACCAAUAUUACUCUAAAUUAUAAGUUAAUUGUAGAAACCGUCUCCAUUGAUUUCAAAAACAAAGAUUACAUGGCCAACUUACAUGUUUUGUCUUGUCCUCCUGUUUUCAAACCUUUUGCUCAUUCAAGUUUUGACUAGAACACAAAACAGUCCUACUGCUUUCAGUUUUGAAUUCCUAUCAAGCAGUUUCUUGAGGAAUGCUGG